GCAUUGGUGGUUCAAUGGUAGAAUUCCUGCCUCCCAUGCAGGAGACCUGGGUUCAAUUCCCAGCCAGUGCA
rfam:Alligator mississippiensis ScZkoYb_315, whole genome shotgun sequence.